rnacentral:rRNA from 1 species
UACGAAGGGGGCUAGCGUUGCUCGGAAUUACUGGGCGUAAAGCGCACGUAGGCGGCUUUCUAAGUCGGGGGUGAAAUCCUGGAGCUCAACUCCAGAACUGCCUUCGAUACUGGAGAGCUUGAGUCCGGGAGAGGUGAGUGGAACUGCGAGUGUAGAGGUGAAAUUCGUAGAUAUUCGCAAGAACACCAGUGGCGAAGGCGGCUCACUGGCCCGGUACUGACGCUGAGGUGCGAAAGCGUGGGAAGCAAACAGG